UACGUAGGGGGCAAGCGUUGUCCGGAUUUAUUGGGCGUAAAGAGCGUGUAGGCGGCCUGACAAGUCUGCUGUGAAAACUCGAGGCUCAACCUCGAGAUGUCGGCGGAAACUGUCUGGCUAGAGUCCGGAAGAGGAGAGUGGAAUUCCCGGUGUAGCGGUGAAAUGCGCAGAUAUCGGGAAGAACACCCGUGGCGAAGGCGGCUCUCUGGACAGUUCCUGACGCUGAGGCACGAAGGCCAGGGGAGCAAACGGG
rnacentral:rRNA from 1 species